rnacentral:rRNA from 1 species
UACGUAGGUGGCAAGCGUUGUCCGGAUUUACUGGGCGUAAAGAGCGCGCAGGCGGUCGUUCAAGUCGCGUGUGAAAGCCCCCGGCUCAACUGGGGAGGGUCACGCGAUACUGAUCGACUGGAAGGCAGGAGAGGGUAGUGGAAUUCCCGGUGUAGUGGUGAAAUUCGUAGAUAUUAGGAAGAACACCGGUGGCGAAGGCGGCCCACUGGUCCGGUACUGACGCUGAGGUGCGAAAGCGUGGGGAGCAAACAGG